AGCAGCUCCCAGCAACACCUACAAGAGCUUUGUUCUGGAGGUUUUCGCUUGAAAUCCUCUUUCCCUGAGCACCACAGGCUGCAGGAUUCUCCACUGUCCCCUGGGCAGAACAGAGUGGCAAACAUCAAGAAGAAAAGAACACUCCUCAAAAAAGCAGACCAGCAAAUAGAUACGAGGCAAUCACUGUCUCCUGCCCUGCUGAUAAGGACUGCAGCAACAAAGACGAACACUCCAAGUGCUAAUUUAAAGACAGAAAAAGGAGGUGAAAGUAAAAGAUUUCCCCAUUUGAAACCAAACAAUUAUAAAGCUACAGUGGCUUUCAUGCUGUGACAACCAAUGGUAAAAAAAAAUAAA